rnacentral:misc_RNA from 1 species
AAUUCCUUUUAUUUGCUGCCGUAAAUUGCUUGAAUUUCUCCCAAACACAAAGAAAAUAAUAAUAAUAAGAAAUUCUGAUUGUAAUUGCAUUCUCGAAUUCUGCUUUCUUAGUUGUUGAGUGAAGAGAUGGCAAGUCGGCCUGAGUUAUUAGCACCGCCGGAGAUAUUCUAUGAUGAUGCUGAAGCUCGAAAAUACACUUCUUCUUCUCGUAUCAUUGAAAUUCAGGCAAAGCUAUCAGAGAGAGCAGUAGAGCUUCUUGCUUUGCCUGAUGAUGGAGUCCCUAGAUUACUUCUUGACAUUGGUUGUGGGUCAGGACUUAGUGGAGAGACACUCACUGAAAAUGCGCACCAAUGGAUUGGUUUAGACAUUUCACAAUCAAUGCUUAAUAUUGCAUUGGAGCGGGAGGUUGACGGUGAUCUUUUGCUUGGUGAUAUGGGG